AAUGACCCAGGCAUACCCGGCAUACCCCAAGUACUUGAGUACUUUUUACCCAGUGCAUAAGUAUAAAAUAACAUAGGUUUUGAAAAAAAAAAGUACAACUAUAUAAUAUGACCCACCUUCUCCAGGGUUCUCCCUGAAUGAAUAUUUGCCAAUGAAAAAGGUUUUAACAAAUAUUAUUCAUUAUGAUUGUAUAUUAACAUUCCUCUAUAUGUGUAAAAAUAAUUAGAAAAUGAAACUUAUAUUUGAUGAUAAUAAUAAAAUAAGGAUACACAUCAAUUCGAAUCCUCCAUGUUAAAGCAAAAUUCGCCUCGUACACUUCACAAUGAUGGUUUAAAUUGUAUAUUUCAGGAUAUAUGUUAUAUAAGAGACUUGUUAGUGUUUAUUCAGACUCAAGCACCACAAAGCGAUGUAAGGGAAAAUUCUCUUUAUUACCACAGCUUAUCUACAAAAAAAAAUUAAAAGAUAUCAUAUAUGGGUGUGAAAAAAAUAUAUAUAAAAGGUCAGGAGUUGGCAUUUUAGAUGGCAUUGCUCUUUGGGGAUUGUGGUCUCUUCUGGAUCUGGUGGGUCAGGGUCUUGGUUGGGGAAUAUUGGCCGGGGACCAAUCUGGAUGGUGGUGCUGGCCUCGUGCCUUGGUUAACUCUUAGGUUAGUUCCAGGUCUUUCAUAGGCAUGCUGGCUUUGAUCUGUCAAUUGAUGUUCAAUUUAUGGCGUUGUAUGUUUGCCGCUCAGAUAUUUCCUAGGUCUUUAAAAGUAGAGGAGAAAACUAUUUGUUAUGAUUGUUGAUUAAACUUCAAAGCAAUUUGAUUAAUUAAGCAAUUCAUAUUAAAAAUGGCUUGGUUACAAUUUCGGCUUUUAUAUAUUUAUUGGGAGUAACUUCCAUUGCAAAACAAAUUUUGAGGAUGGUGUACCUAUAUGGAUGAAAUUAUAAUCACUUGUUUGACUGUUUAAAUGUACCACGUUGUAAUUUCGAUUGUCUUAAUUUUAUUGGCAGAUAAUGCAUUCACGUUGCCAGUUUUGUACAUCUUUCUUCAUGUUGGUCUGUAUGAACUUCCAGCCACUUUCUUGAUCCUUGUUUUCUAUUCCAGGGUGUGUCUCAUCAUGAAUUUGUUUGAAUUUUCUUGUACUCCUGUACUACUGGGGUAUAUAGGGGCGAAUGUUGCUUGUUAGUACUUCACACAAGAGGGAUUUUCAGAGAUAUCCCUAACAAAACCAUGGCAUUCACAAAUAAAUUCCUCGUUCUUUAUAUAUCUUAUUUUCAAUUAUAUUAAGGAUUCACAGUAAAAUUAAGAAAUUGAGAUAAUUUUCAAUAAUUAUUCUCCUUUAUCUCAAUAUAUUUUCACUUCAAAACCAAUAGCUAAUUAUUCAGUAAACUAUCUUUGCUUGAAUUUUGUAAUUUUCACUGUACUGUUCUUGAAUGUGUGUCUUUUCUGGGUUCAUCCUAACCCUCCAGGUUUUGCACCAUUUUAAAUUUCAUUUGAUAUAUUUUACAAUUUUUUGAAAAUUUGUAAUGCUCUUUGACUGAAUUUUAACUGCUGUGUCAUCUGAAAAAGUUAAGAAAAGUGGGAUGUCAUCAAUGAAAACGUUGAAGAGAUCUGAAAGUUGAAUAGGCAGUUUCCCAUCUGACUUUAAAUUUCCUCUCUUCAAGUUAGUUCAACACCAGCUGGACCAGGUCUUCGAGGAAGCUAUGAUUAACCAUUUUGUGUACUAUGGCUUUGCGCUAGACCUUGUCGAAGGCUCUGUUAAUGCCAAAGAGUAGUGCACCAGUGGUAUAUUUGUUAUUUAAUAAUUGAAAUGAUUUUUGGGUCCUAAAAUCAAACUAUUCAUUUUAAAUUAACUCUGUUCGGGAAGGUGGUUUUGGACAAUCUUUUGAAAAAAUUUCCAAGGAACAUAAGCAAUGAUAAUAGUCGAUGAUCACUAACCUCUUUUGGUGAACCGGUCUUGAAAAUUGAGAGAACUAUUGCAGUUUUCCAGCAGCUAGGAAAGUACGUGUGUGCGUGGUCAGCAUCGCGCAGAAGAGUCAACCAACAACUUCAGCUUCCAAAUCCUGGCACACUCUGAUGGGUUACUCGUCCAGCUCAAGUCCCUCUGUGAACGUUUCCAGUCCCAAGUAAAAUGUCAGAGUUGUACAGAGUUAGGCAGUGACAUAAGUGUUCAUUUACAAAAAGAACAAAGUGAGUCCGCAAACUCAGGUUUUUACAAUUUUGAUAGGUGGUUAAAUAUAAAAUAUUAGUGAAGCAUGAAAGAAAUAAGGAUUAAAAAUUAUGGGUAAAUAAUAGGAGGGUAUACAAAAAUACAGCCUUCAAGGGGAAAAGGGCAUCUUUUUAUUUUAUUUUUUUUUUGCAAUUAUAAUUUUCGUUUUCUAUUAUUAUUUAUUUUAUUUUUAUUUUUUAUUUUUUUAUUUUUUAUUUUUUUUGUUGUGCCAAAAUAUAGAUAAUUUUUGGGAUAAAUCCUCUUUUUUUUCCCCAAUGAAAGCUUAGGUAAAACAAAUAUACAAGUAAGGGAAGAUUAAAAUAACAAUAAAGAAAGAGCUUUAAUAUAUAUUUACAACAUACAAUGAUAAUUUUAAAAGAAAUAAAAUAAUUUGAAAAUGAUAGACUUUUUUCUUUAAAGAUAAUUAUCUUUGUCAUCUUCCUCUAUAGAACUGUUGGCUAAACGGUUGUGAAGAUGAAGCACAAUAUACUUAAGCACUCUGAAAAAAAAAAUUGGAAACAAAAGGUUAUGCUUGUUGUUGGUGUGCAUGAUAAUUUUAUCGGAGGGAACCUUAGUGUGAAGAAUAGGGAUGCUAAGAGAUGGAGCCAGAGCGUUUGCAUAACGUGUUAAUUUGGUGUCAAAGAAAGGGUGGUAGACACAAGAAACGGUAUAAGUAGCGACAAGAGGAAGUGGCAGGCCCUGGCGAGCGAUGGAUAAGAAGCGUGGCUGGGGAUAUAAGGCUGUCAAGUACAGGGCAACAAGUGGUACAGGUGGUUAAACAUGUGACAAGGAUGAAUGUGUUAAGGAGUAAACAACAUUGAGGUACAAAAGGGUAACAUGUUAUGAAAAAAGACAAGGUAAAUUCUGCCACGCUUGAGCAGGGCAGUCUCGAGGGGUUGGCGAAAUGGAGGACAAGUUUCUUGAUUGGUGACUAUUUCGAAGAGGGGCGAAUAUAAAUAGAUCAAAGAGUGAGGUGGAGAUCCGGCAGGUCCAGGAUGGCAAUGGUUCGAUCAGGAGAGGAGAGGUUUGGUAGGAAUAGAACUGGAAGGGAUUGGUUAAGGAUAAACAUACAAGAACCCAGUUAGUUCCCUUUAAUAGGGUGGUGUAAUAUGGUGGAACCAGGAAGGUGCCAGGGAUCUUCCCAAGUGAGACUGGAGGUUCUUGUACGAAUAUGAUAUCCACCUUGUAAAGACAUGCAGAGUGUGGAAUAGUAGAGAGGAAGUGAGUGGAGCGACGGCAGUUAAUUUGUAAAAAGUUUAAGGAUUUCGCUUUAGUGAAGCUGUCCUCUGCAGCUUUGAUAACAGGACAGGACAUUAAGUCCGCCUUGUGUUUAUUGUUGGGGGAGGUGCAGCGGAAGCAGGAGGGAGUGAGGUUGGUGGUGGGGCAGUCAGAUACGACAUGUGGGAGUCCACAAUGCAGACAUUUAGGAUUGUUGUCGCACCUUUCAGGGCGAUGUCUUAAGCUUACACAUUUCAGGCAGGGGAAUGUUGCCCUAGAUCUGGAGAUGAGAAGGAUGUAAUAUCCGAAACGGAUCUUUUUAAUUUUUAGGAGCUGGGUCGAGGUAUCUUCGUCAGUUUCAAAAAAGACAUGUUGGUUGCCAUUCCUUGCAGGGACAGAUAUGCACCAGUGCAGUGACCGCAUUUGGCCGCCCUGGUACAGUUCUUACCCUUGGGAGCGGGUGAUGGUACCUCUGGAAUUGCAAACCUUAAGAUCAAGGGCAUCAAGAAGGUUGUUUAUGUGAGAACCCUUCCCGUUUUGCUUUUGGAGGCUCCAGCGGGAGGAGACGGCAUUGACAUCUCCAGCGAAUAGAAGGCGAGGAGGAGGUGGUUAGCCGAAGAGAGUGAGGAAGGAGUCUAUGAUGGGAGAAUAAGAAGCGUUGUGAGGAAAGUAAACAGAGCAGAUAGUGAGAUGGAAGCCUGGAAUAUCGAGAAUGGCGAGUGUACGAUUGGUGGUAGAAAGGCGAGGGAGGAAGACCACAGGCAGGCUCUGGUUAAGAACCACGAUGCAGGUGCUGCACCUGUUCUGUGAGAUGGGAGCGUGAAGGAAAGAGGCGGAAGGGAUGGGGAAGGGAGAGGGGAGAAGGCCCUUACGGACCGGCAGCUCUUGAAGUAGGAGGAUAUCUAUGUGAGAGGACUGCGCGGUUUCGAGGAUAGAGAAGAAGCAGGGGAGGGAACGGUUGCAGUUUAGCUGCAGGAACCUAAUCAUGGGAUUCCAUGCGUUGUAAGGAAGGCAGACUCUGCCGCCUUAAUGAUCGGGCAGGCAAGUGAAUCCGCCCAGUGUUGAUUGUUGAUGCUGCACCGGAAGCAUCUAGGGGGAGAGAUUACUGCGCAGUCGUUGAUGGUGUGGCCCUCCCCACAGUGCAAGCACUUGGCCCGUUUGGUGCAGUCUUUGUGUUGGCGUAGGUCACCACAGGAGCGGCAAGGGUGCGUCGUUCUUGUUCGCUCGAACCUGAUAGAGCUAAAACCUAUGAAGAGGCGAGAACGCGACUGGAGGUCUCUGGCUGUAGCGGUGUCAGUCUCUAUGAUGGCGUGUAUGUCGUUGUUGCGCGCAGCCAUUGUACGGACUAGCCUACAGCCGGCGCCCACGGAUUGGUUGAGGUCGUCUAUUGGGAGAGCGUCGGGAAUGUUAAAGAGGGUAUAGCGUGGUUUAAAUGUAGGGGGCAGGUGCACCUUGAUGUUGGUUCCCCUAGUGGCAUUUAUUAGUUUUGUGUAGAUGUUUGUCAUGUUGUUUUUAGUGUUUGUAUGUAUGGUUAGUUUGUUGCGUGUGCGGUGUAUGUUAGUGAUUGGUGUGGUGGGCGUGGUAAGGGAGGAGAUGGAAAUUUUUGUGUAUAGGUUGGUGUCAAUGGGGGUGCUGAUGGAGGGGUCUUGGGUGAUUAUUAUAUGGAAGGGGUUGUUGCGGUUGGAGGGGGGUGUGGGGCGGUGGGAUGGGAUGUGUGUGGUGUGGCGGGGGGAGGGGAUGGGGGGAGAGGGAGUAGCAGAAGGGGGAAGGGAGGCGGCUCUGGCAAAAGAGUCAGGAGUAGGAAGGAGAGGAUUUGGGGAGGAGGGGGUGGGCGGGGGUUGAAGGAUAGGUGGAGAUAGAGGAAGGGGGUUAGGAGGGGAAGGAUGAGGAGUUUUAGGAGGAGGAAUGGGAGGGGUUAGAGUGGUAGUAGAAGGUUCAGUCGGGUGGUGUGAGGGUGGUUGUGUAAGUAUGUGUGUGAGGAUGUUGUUGGUGUGGUUGGCCUCUAUGAGGCGCUGGUUGUAUGUCUGUGUGAGGUGUGUGAAUGUUAUGUCGAGGGUGGUUCUGAAUUGGUUGGCGAUAGAAGGGGUGAGACCAUUGGAGAAAGGAGCUAGAAGGUGGUAGGCCCAGGAAAGAGGGAGGAAGUGGGAGUUGUUGUUGAUGGGGAACAGAUUGCAUAUCAAUGGGGGGGAGUCAAUGGUAUAGUCGGAAUUGCGAGGGUGGUGUGGCCUGUAGGGAGUGUGGGUGGUGGUGACAGGGGGGUGAGGAGGGGUAGGUUCACUCACCCCUGGUUGACCGUUGAGAGGGCCGCCGAUUGUGCGGUCCAGGUGGCUGUCGAAGAUGCUGGGGCGCAGUUCAUCCCUGGAGGAAUCCGCACUUGAAGUGGAGGUGCAGUCUUAAGGAGAGUUGGUGGAGUCCUCCCUGGAAGAAGAGACGUCUGGGGGGUGUAGUAUCCAGGAGGGGUGUGAGAGAAGGGGUUCUAGUAGGGGUAGGUCCUCGGCGGGUGCGGAAUGGUGGACUGGUGCGCUGGGGCGGACAGGUGAGUUGCUGGGCCCGCGGCGGCGCGCGGUGGUGCCGUCGCCUGGGGAGAGGAGCUGGGAGUUCAGCGCGGCGGACGGAAGGACCGCGCUCGGCUGGCUAUGGUUACAGCUAAUUGACCAAAUGGGAUGGCCUUCUAGCUCUACUACUGACUGAAAUGAAUCAGACUGACCGCGGCAAAGGGAGCAGGUAACCCGGGGAGAUACAGCAACAUCGCAAUAUCCCCCGCGACAACACCCAAGGAACCACCAAGCCCGCCACCCAACGCAACGCACGCAGUGGCGGUGCGAAACGCAUCUACAGCCCCAUCCGCGAAGAGACGCGCGGCGCCCUCACGGCGCCCCUGGAGAAUGCGAUGCGUGCUAAUGCUGUAAGAACAUAGGUGAGUAUCCCUGGGUCAGAGGGAAAGAGAUGGGCUGGGCGCUGGGGAACAGGAGCACAGUAGCACAGGAGACCAGAGGCACUAUAUAAAAUUCCUAUUUAGCCUCCUUGAAUAUGCUGACACCACCAAAAAGAGUGGAUGCCCUUACUUCAAGCAGUAUCCCUGUGCCUUACCACGGGUGGGGGGUCACUAGGGACUGGCAAGAAGCGAUCCUAAUUCAAGGGAAGCUUUUGACUCCAAGAGUAUCCAGAAUCCUUACCACUGGUGGGGGGAAUAUCUAGACUCGUUGAAGUUAUCGAGAGCUCUCUCGCGCUCGUCGGCGUGUGACAAUUAAUCCGCUUUCUACAUGCUUUCGGAUAAGCAUUUUAAGGCACGACUCAUGUUUGGGAGUCACCAAGCGCCCGCCGCUGUGGAGGACCAAGGAGAGGGCUGGAGAGGCGCAGGCAGGGCGAGUGGGCACCCCGGGGGUGAAGAGGGCGAGAGCGCGGUUAGUGAGGGAACCAAGGCAGCACCAAGCACAGCACCAGACUCCAAGCAAGUCUGGUAGAUUGCAAAUUUACCUUUGUUUUUUAUUUAUUUAAUUAAAUAAAGAGCAAACAAAAGUACAAAGAGGAGGUAGGUAGCAGAGGGGGUGGAAUUAAAAACAAAGGGGGAGGAGGAGAGGAGGGAAUGGUGUCGGGGGGGAGGGAAAGGGAGAAGCGGAUCUCAAAGUGAUCGGAGAGGUCAGUAGGGCAGGAGGUCCAACCGGAAACGGAGGAGAGGAGAGAGGAAGAGACGCUGGAGAUGUCAAUGGAGGAGGAACUGGAGCCCUGGGAGAGGUGAAAGCUCCCCGGGUGUUACAGACCUUGAGGUCGAGGGCGUCGUGAAGGGUGUUGAUGAAAUUGCCUUUGGAGUUUGGUUUUUGUGAGCUCCAGCGGGAGGAGACAGCGUUGACAUCUCCAGCGAAGACAAGGCGGGGAGGGGGUGGGGAGCCAAAGAGGGAGAUAAAGGAGUCGACGAUGGGGGAGUAAGAAGUGUGGUGGGGGAAGUAUAUGGAGCAGAGAGUAAGGUGAAAGCCGGGGAUGUCAAGGAUUGCAAGGGUGCGGUUGGUCGUGGAGAGUCGUGGGAGGAAAAUGACGGGAAGGCUUUGAUUAAGAAUAAUUAUACAGGAGUUACACCGGUUGUUAGAGAUGGGAGCAUGGAGGAGGGAGGAGGAGGGGGUGGGAAAUGGGGAGGGAAGGGCAUUGUCACGGACCGGAAGUUCUUGAAGGAGAAGGAUAUCUAUAUGGGAGGACUGGGCAAAUUGUAGUAAGGAGAGGUAGCAAGGGAGAAUUCGGUUACAGUUAAGCUGUAAGAACUUUAUCAUUUAAGGCAGGUGGUGGGUAUUAAGGAAUGUGGUUUCUGCGGCCUUGAUGAACGGGCAGGAGAGGGAGUCUGCCCGGUGUUGGCCGUUGCCGUUGCAGCGGAAACAUUUAGGGGGGAGGGUGGUGGCGGUGCAAUUGUUGGUAAUGUGGCCUUCGCCGCAAUGGAGGCAUCUGGGGGGUUUAUUGCAGAUUUCAUUGCUGUGACGGAUGUCACCGCAGUUACGGCAGGGGUGAGUUGAUCUGAUUCUAUCGAACCUGAUUGAAUUCUAUCCCAAAAAGAGACGGGUUCGAGAUUGCAGUUGGGUGGCAGUGUCGGAGUCGGUUUCGAUGACCGCGGGCAUCCAAUGAAAAUGAGCGGCCGUCAAACCACAAAACCCCCGGUUGUGACGUCGCGCGAUUAAUCGACCAAUCAGCGUGCGGCGUCCAAUUUCGACCGCGGCCCUCUAACCCUUGGGUGAUUAGAGACGGCGCUUGGUGAAAUCCCGUCCACAAGCCAGCUGGUAAAUUAAAAGUUUGACAUCGCAUACAUAAUUAGUGAUACACGCAUAUGCAGGUAAAACACUGAUGUAAAGUUUAGGUGGAAUUAGAGUCAGAAACCUUCUCUGAUUCCACCUCUCGGAUCCGCGCUCUCAGCCUGUCGCAAGCCAGGAGAAAAUCGAUACAGGCUCGCCAGGUUAAACAAUUGUGGGUGAAGCCGCGGAGCGCCCUCGGCGUGAAACCGAGUUCCCUCCCCGCUAUAAAUAAUAGACGAGUUCUGAGGGAGUCCAGACUGUCACACUCGAGCAUGAUAUGUUCCAGAGUUUCUUCCUCUCCAGAGUCACAGAAAGGGCAGAUAGGAUCUUCAAUAUGUCCAAGUCUGUGAGCAAAGCUGUCUGUCCAUGUGUGUCCAGUCAGCAGGCCAAUCACGGCGUGGACACUAGAAACGAUGUACGCAUGUUUUUUGUCCAAGAGACUCAUGGGAGAAAGGCCAAAGCGGGUGAAGAUUGUGCGCUCGGCGGAGCUGAACCUGACCUGCCAAGCUGCCCACGCCCGCUUGUAGAUUGUCGAUUUAAGUUUCGACACCCUUGGAGCAGAUGGCCACCCAGACCUUACGGUCCACAAGCCGGCAUGCGAAGCAUGCCCUUAGCUGCUAUCUUGUUCCACUCAUUAGCCAAGUAACGGCAUCCAAGCUGGGGGCUUGAAUAUUGUACUUGGAAAAACCACCUCCCAGAUGACUAGUCUGGAAGGAAUUUAUAUCCCGGUGACCUUCAGUCACAGCAAAACAGUAAACUGUCUACUGUGUCCAGCGGGGACCACGGGAAGGCGGCCACCGGUCGACCCUGUUCACUCACAGCUGAGGUAAAGCUCAGCUGCCACGUCGUGAGCCUUCUCAAGAAGCUUGCUGUGAUUUCUCAGCAGCUCGCUCUCGAUCACGCCCUCCUUCUCUCUUCCUGCACCCCUACCACCCUUGAGCAAUCCAAGACGUAGUGGCGUGCGUCUACAUCCCUCUCUCCACAGACGCAAUCAGGAUUGCUCUUUAUCUUGAAUCUGUGGAGACUCCUGGGGAAGGGCCCAUGUCCCGAAACUACCCUAAUAAGUUUGUGGGACAUUACCUUACAGAGGUACUUGGGUACUGUUACCCAAUUGAAUACCUCCCUCCCAUUUUUACUGUUCCUCCACCUGUCCAACCAUAAGUCCUGGACAUGCCCCCUGAUCCUCCUAUAAACUUCCUUCUUGGUUACAGGGGUCCUCACAGAUCUACCUCUAAAGCACCCUGCUUUAGCGAGCCUGUCUGCGAAUUCAUUACCUUCGAUGAGGCUGUGACCUCUAACCCAAUGGAGCGCCGGAGCCUGCGGCAUCAUUUCCAGCUCCUGGAUGAUUUAAUGCGCGAGUUGCCCCUUUUCCAGAUUGAUGGCGACAAGGGCCGACAUGCAAUCUGAAUAGAGGCGCUCAGGGCUCAAAUUCUUCUCGGCACACACUCUGAGGGCCUCCCUGAUCGCAACCAGCUCGGCUGAAUAGACCAGUUCGUCCUCUCUGAGUGUUAAGCUUUCUUGGAAGAUCAGCUCCCCAUUGGUGAAGAUCACCACCCCAGCUCCAGUAUUGGUUCCAGACUUGCUCCCAUCAGUGAAGACCUCCGUACCAAUCCCUGUUGGCACUCCAGGACUCCAAUUCCACUUUGGCAACCACUGCGGAGGCUUCCUUGGGUCCCUCUUCCAUUCCAGGGCACCCGCUUCAAGGCCCAGGGCGUCUUUCCUAUCCUCCCAUAUUUUCUGUCUGAUGGCCUCCUCCUCUAGUUUCAAACCCAGGGGAAUAAGCCCAGCGAGGACCAACAAGGCCUCCGUGCUGGUGGUGCGGUAUCCCCCUGUGAUUUUGAGUGCAGCUGUCCUCUGCACUCUCUCUAGAGUCGUCGCCACCUUCUGAUCUUUGUUUCGGGGCCACCAGGCCCUAGAGGCAUAUAGUAGGAUUGGCUCGACACAGGAAAGGUAGAGGUUCCUAAAGAUAGUACACUCCUUGCCCCCCCUGUUGAGAGCCAACCGCGACAGCCUGCACAAUGCCUCUCUGCCUUUCGCCACCAUCUCCGCGUGGAAUUGCCAUCCCAACUUUUCAUCAAUGACCAACCCUAAGAUGGUCAUCCUAUCUACCACUGAUACCUUCCGUCCUUCCAUCCUGAUAGCCGGCUUAUGUUCCCAUCUGAUCCCUUUUCUUUUGGUUCUUAUGUCCCUAGACUUAAAGCUGAGGGCUUUAGUUUUAGCGACAUUGAACCUAAGUCCAGAGUAGUGGGCCCAGUUCGAGAGGAUUUGGAGAGAAGUUUCAACACACUUCUCAGCCUUCGCUCUCGAAGCAGCCUCAAUGAUGAGGAACUGGUCGUCGGCAUAGAGAACCAGCCUGGCUCCCUCAGGUAGCUCCUCCUGGAAAACUGUGUUAACCAGGAUGUUCCACAGUACAGGUCCGCAGCAGGAGCCCUGGGGGCAACCCCUGGCACAUUUUCUUACCAACUCCAGUCCACCAAAACUGAGGCUAACCCGUCUAUCCCUCAGGAAGUCACGAACCAAGCUGCACAAAUUAUCUGGACAACCCAUAUCCAUCAAAUUUCUCAUCAGCUUGUUCCAGUUCAUGGAAUUGAAAGCGCCAUCAAUGUCCAGGGCCACGAGAAGAACCCAAGCACCCUUUUUUAGCCCUAUCUCAACCCCCUCUAAUACUUCAUUCAGAGCUGUGGUUGUCGACUUACCUUCCCUAAAACCAUGUUGGGAAGAGGAAAGGAGCACAUUACUCUCUAGCCAGUGCUUCAGACGAUGAGCUAGUA